rnacentral:tRNA from 1 species
CCUGACUUCGUUCAAUGGUAGGACGCUCGGCCGUGGACCGGGAGACGUGCGGUUCGAUCCCGCCAGUCAGGACCA